rnacentral:rRNA from 1 species
GAUGAACGCUGGCGGCGUGCCUAAUACAUGCAAGUCGAGCGAACAGAUGAGAAGCUUGCUUCUCUGAUGUUAGCGGCGGACGGGUGAGUAACACGUGGGUAACCUACCUAUAAGACUGGGAUAACUCCGGCAAACCGGGGCUAAUACCGGAUAAUAUUUUGAACCGCAUGGUUCAAUAGUGAAAGACGGUUUCGGCUGUCACUUAUAGAUGGACCCGCGCCGUAUUAGCUAGUUGGUAAGGUAACGGCUUACCAAGGCGACGAUACGUAGCCGACCUGAGAGGGUGAUCGGCCACACUGGAACUGAGACACGUUCCAGACUCCUACGGGAGGCAGCAGUAGGGAAUCUUCCGCAAUGGGCGAAAGCCUGACGGAGCAACGCCGCGUGAGUGAUGAAGGUCUUCGGAUCGUAAAACUCUGUUGUUAGGGAAGAACAAAUUUGUUAGUAACUGAACAAGUCUUGACGGUACCUAACCAGAAAGCCACGGCUAACUACGUGCCAGCAGCCGCCGUAA